rnacentral:ncRNA from 2 species
GUACGUCUUCAGGGCGGGGCGAAAUUCCCCACCGGCGGUAUGCAGACGGUGUCGUGCAAUUUAGAGCGUCAAGUGCACACCAGUCUGCGAGCCCGCGAGCGCUCGCAACACCGUGUUUCAAGGCAAUUCGAAGCACAUGCGAGGUCAGCAGAUCUGGUGAGAGGCCAGAGCCGACGGUUAGAGUCCGGAUGGAAGAAGAUGUGC